UACGUAGGGGGCAAGCGUUGUCCGGAAUCAUUGGGCGUAAAGCGCGUGUAGGCGGUCCGGAAAGUCUGGUGUGAAAACUUGAGGCUCAACCUCAAGCUGUCACUGGAUACUGUCGGACUUGAGUCUGGAAGAAGAGAGUGGAAUUCCUGGUGUAGCGGUGGAAUGCGCAGAUAUCAGGAGGAACACCAAUGGCGAAGGCAGCUCUCUGGUACAUGACUGACGCUGAGACGCGAAAGCGUGGGUAGCAAACAGG
rnacentral:rRNA from 1 species